rnacentral:rRNA from 1 species
GACGAACGCUGGCGGCGUGCUUAACACAUGCAAGUCGAACGAAGAGCGAUGGAAGCUUGCUUCUAUCAAUCUUAGUGGCGAACGGGUGAGUAACGCGUAAUCAACCUGCCCUUCAGAGGGGGACAACAGUUGGAAACGACUGCUAAUACCGCAUACGAUCUAACCUCGGCAUCGAGGAAAGAUGAAAGGUGGCCUCUAUUUAUAAGCUAUCACUGAAGGAGGGGAUUGCGUCUGAUUAGCUAGUUGGAGGGGUAACGGCCCACCAAGGCGAUGAUCAGUAGCCGGUCUGAGAGGAUGAACGGCCACAUUGGGACUGAGACACGGCCCAGACUCCUACGGGAGGCAGCAGUGGGGAAUCUUCCGCAAUGGACGAAAGUCUGACGGAGCAACGCCGCGUGAGUGAUGACGGCCUUCGGGUUGUAAAGCUCUGUUAAUCGGGACGAAAGGCCUUCUUGCGAACAGU